rnacentral:rRNA from 1 species
AUUGAACGCUGGCGGCAUGCUUUACACAUGCAAGUCGGACGAGUGGCGAACGGGUGAGUAACGCAUCGGAACGUACCGAGUAAUGGGGGAUAACUGUCCGAAAGGACAGCUAAUACCGCAUAUUAUUCGAGCGGCCGAUGUCUGAUUAGCUGGUUGGCGGGGUAAAGGCCCACCAAGGCGACGAUCAGUAGCGGGUCUGAGAGGAUGACAAGCCACACUGGACCUGAAACACGGUCCAGACUCCUACGGGAGGCAGCAAUGGGGAAUAUUGCGCAAUGGGCGCAAGCCUGAUGCAACCAUGCCGGGUGUGUGAAGAAGGCCUUCGGGUUGUAAAGCUCUGUUAAUCGGGACGCGGUACCGGAAUAGAAAGCAACGGCUAACUACGUGCCAGCCGCCGCGGUAAUAC